GACAAGUCAGUGUGAACUUGCGGAAAAAAUAGCACAUAUUUCACACGAGCAGAUUCACCACAAUUUCUCAUGAAAAAAUAAAGCAAAAAACUUUAAAUAAUACAACCCCUAACAAGAAAAAAAUUACAAUUUUCACACCCUUUGCUAUUUGAUCAGUUUGUGUAAAUGAAUAUAAAAUGCGAACCUUUUAUUCAUUACUCAGAUUUCUCAAAGUCCCAAAAUGCUGGCGUGAAUAGUUCGUGUGUGUCCGUCAACAAUGUGUAUGCGUUAACUGUGUGUGUCUGCUUAGAUUAAUCGUGUGAGGAAAAGUUUGUACAAGGGGAAUGGUGACAAAACCACAGGGUAUCAGCACGAGCAGGAGACAAAGGAGUAAUUUAAAAAGUUUUACGUGCUGGCACUGAACUUUGGCCCAAACCUUUUGGCCAGUAUGUCAGGCAUCCACCAGACUGAGAUCGCCCACGGCGGAUAUAACAUAGCACCACCAAACAGCGGACCAACAGAGAGCAGCAGGACGCCGACCAGUAAAACAAUCGUACUCUUCAGGGAAUCCAGUUCAUAGGCUGUCGGAAAGCACAUCUUUAGGUUACAGAUGUGUGCAGUGCGUACAUCCCCUCCAGUAUCCUCCAAGGCUAUUUUGUAGUUCAGAGGUCCAAGACGUUUUAGGAUGCGGUAAGGCCCUUUCCAUUUCGGUGCCAGUUUCGCACUGUAAUUAUGUUGUGCACUGGAUUGAGGGAAAUUUCUCAACCAUACUCUGUCUUUGUUUUUAAAUGUAAGGUCUCUCCUUUUUUUGUUGUAAUUCCUUAACUGUCUCAUCUGGGCUUUUUGGCAACUUUCUUUGGCUUGUAUUUGAAGUUGGUUAAGGUGAUAAAUGGUGUCAUAAGAAGCAGAGUCUGGAGUGAGGUGCGGACCAUGCAGCACUUUAUCCAUAGGCCCUUGUAGUUUUCGUCCAAGAUGGAGCUCGGCUGGGGUCAUGCCUAUGGUUUCUUGAACUGCUGAAUUAAGGGAGAAUCGGAACUCUGGUAAGUACUGGUCCCAUUUCUUAUGAUUGCCUUCCACGUAAGCAGCAAUCAUGUUUUUUAUGUUUCGGUUGACUCUUUCUGUCAUAUUUGUUUGAGGGUGGUAUGCUGUUGUUAGCUUCGGGGUGACACUCCAUUUCUCACACAGCUCCCUAAACAAAGAUGAGACAAAUUGGGUUCCUCUAUCAGAUAGGAUGUAAUCUGGAACGCCCCAACGGGUCAAGAUUUCCUUUCGAAAGAUUAAUGCAAUGUUUUGUGAUGUAGCAUUGCGCAUGGGAAACAGUUCUACCCAACGUGAAUAGUAAUCUACAAAGACAAGCAGAUAUUCAUUCUGGUUGGAACUGCGGGGCAUGGGACCCAUUAUGUCAACUCCAAGCAUCUCAUUUGGGCGAGUGGUAAUGACUUGUUGCAGUUUUCCCGCAGGCUGUUGGUUGUCAUGUUUCACUGUUUGACAUGUCACACACCUCUUUACAUGUUGCUUUACAUCAGACCACAUUCCUGGCCAAAAAGCUAUUUCCUGAAGUCUUUUGUAGGUUUUGUAGAUUCCCCCAUGACCACUAAGAGGGCUAGAGUGGUAAUGCUGCAGAAGAGAUGUUCGAAGACUAAUGGGAAUGAAUGCUCUGUAAUGAAUCUGGUUAUUAAGCAAGUAAGAUUUGUGAUACAAUUUGUCCUGUAUUACUUCAUAUUCACUGCUUUGCUUAUCUGGGUUAUCUGCUACAGUUUGCAUCAGUUUUGUUGUCUCAAAAUCUUUGUGUUGUUCUUCCCACAAAGUAACAUCAGACACAGGAAGUUCUGGAGCAUCCUUUUGGCUGGUGUACAGGCUACAGCUUGAUUGUACUGGAAUUCUGGACAGAGCAUCUGGUGCAACAUUUAACUUUCCUUUUCGAUACUCAAUGAUAAAGUCAAAUUUUUGCAGGCGAAGGACCCAGCGGAUGAGGCGACUGGUAGUUUUUGUAGAAUUAAUGACCCAUUGUAAGGCAGAGUGGUCGGUGACUACAGUGAAGAUUCUAUGCUCCAGAUAAUGUUGCCAUUUUUCUAGAGCCCAGACCACUGCAAGGCAUUCUUUUUCAGUGGCAGAGUAGUUGUUUUCGGCUCCGGUAAGAGUCCUACUUGCAUAAGCGAUGACCUCUUCUGUGCCAGAAUUUUUCCGCUGUGUCAAGAUGGCACCCAGACCAGUGUCACUAGCAUCCGUGUACACAAUGAAUGGAAGGGUAAGAUCAGGAUGGCCCAGAAUGGGGGGUGAGUGAGUUAAGUGGUUCUGCAAUCUGUGAAAAAUUGGGGACAAAGCGGUGAUACCACCCCGACAGCCCCAAG